rnacentral:rRNA from 1 species
UACGUAGGGGGCAAGCGUUGUCCGGAGUUACUGGGCGUAAAGCGCGUGCAGGCGGUUCUGCCAGUCUGAUGUGAAAUCUCUCCGCUCAACGGGGAGCAGCCAUUGGAAACUACAGAACUGGAGUCUGACAGAGGUAGGCGGAAUUCCGGGUGGAGUGGUGAAAUGCGUAGAGAUCCGGAGGAACACCAGAGGCGAAGGCGGCCUACUGGGUCAGUACUGACGCUGAGCCGCGAAAGCCAGGGGAGCGAACGGG